UACAGGGGGUGCAAACGUUGCUCGGAAUCAUUGGGCGUAAAGCGCACGUAGGCGGGUCGUUAUGUCGGAUGUGAAAGCCCUUGGCUUAACCGAGGAAGUGCAUCCGAAACUGGCGAGCUAGAGUACGAAAGAGGAUCGCGGAAUUCCCGGUGUAGAGGUGAAAUUCGUAGAUAUCGGGAGGAACCCCGGUGGCGAAGGCGGCGAUCUGGGUCGAUACUGACGCUGAGGUGCGAAAGCGUGGGGAGCAAACAGG
rnacentral:rRNA from 1 species